CAAAAAUGAAAAAAAUGACAUAGCACGGAAUCGAAGCGUGUUCCUGUUUGAACAUAGCGCGCGCUACAGUACCAUAAACAUCAAUCAGCAUGGCAAACGCGCUUUUAUGGAUCAAAAGACAGUUUCUGGAAAUUUUUAAACAUGUUUUUCACGUUCAUCAUGCGUUCAUAGGUCCAAGAACAAAUGUUCACCAAAUUGCACAAAC
rnacentral:lncRNA from 1 species